CCCUACCAUAAUCUGAGAAGAGUUAGAACAUUCCUUACUUCUACUGUGUUUCAUCUCUGGUUGCUACCAAUUAAACAAGCUAAAUAGUUUGCCACUCCCAUCAACAGUCUCAUUUGUCGAGUCUGAUUCACUUCCCACUGUUUCUUCAGAACUGCAAUCACUUGGGAGGAGUUGAAUUCGAUCAGCAUUCUCGAUGAUCCAUGUAGCAACUUCCGGUGAUGAUGCCCAUUCUGCAACUGCUUGCUGGGUUGAUUCCCUUGUAAAAUCCUCCCAUUCUUUUCUUGUAAACUUCUUUCUUUUUGGCGUCUUGUGGAAGGUUGAAAAGUAAACCUGCUCGUCUCUUGUCCCUGAACCAGCAGAUGGUGAUAAUAAACCUUUGACAGGAGAGUUGGACCAAGCAGAUGAGCUCUUUGGACUACUCCAUAUCUUCCCUCCAGAGCUCAUUUUUGCUGACCUGCUAAGGAAUUCAGCACGUUUGUGCUUUGUUAUUGCUUUGCCACCCCGAGAAUAUGAUUCAUGCACUGGAUGACGCCACCUCAAUGCAUUGAUAAGAAAGCAGAUGGUAUACAACGAAACCAAGCUGACCAUUGCUAAAGGAGCAUCAAGAGUGCUCUGCAAAAUAAAUGUGGUCGCAAUGAUGCGCAUUGCCCAUUUCACAAA
rnacentral:misc_RNA from 1 species